UUGAACGCCGGCGGCAGGCCUAACACAUGCAAGUCGAGCGCGAAAGUUCUUCGGAAUGAGUAAAGCGGCGGACGGGUGAGUAACGCGUGGGAAUCUGCCUGGUAGUGGGGGACAACGUUCGGAUACGAACGCUAAUACCGCAUACGCCCUACGGGGGAAAGGGGGGGAUCUUCGGACCUCUCGCUAUCAGAUGAGCCCGCGUCGGAUUAGCGAGUUGGUGGGGUAAAGGCCUACCAAGGCGACGAUCCGUAACUGGUCUGAACGGAUGAUAAGUAGAACGGGACCAGCGACACGGUCCAGAGUCCUACGGGAGGCAGCAGUGGGGAAGAUUGUACAAUGGGGGAAACCCUGGUCCACCCAUGCAGCGUGUGUGAAGAAGGUCUUAGGGUUGUAAAGCACAUUCAGUGGGGAGAAAGGUUGUUUACUUAAUACGUAAGCAAAUUGAUGUUACCCACAGAAGAAGCACCGGCUAACUCCGUGCCAGCCGCCGCAGUAA
rnacentral:rRNA from 1 species